GACGUAGGGCGCGAGCGUUGUCCGGAUUUAUUGGGCGUAAAGAGCUCGUAGGCGGCUUGUCGCGUCGUCCGUGAAAACCCACAGCUCAACUGUGGGCUUGCGGUCGAUACGGGCAGGCUAGAGUUCGGUAGGGGGAGACUGGAAUUCCUGGUGUAGCGGUGAAAUGCGCAGAUAUCAGGAGGAACACCAAUUGCGAAGGCAGCUCGCUGGGACGUCACUGACGCUGGAGACGCGAAAGCCGUGGGGAGCAAACAGG
rnacentral:rRNA from 1 species